ACUAAAAUCUAAUGAGCAUGUUCUGGGUUAUGUAACUCUCAGAAAUGUGAGGUUUUCAGGUAAAAAAUUCCAUGCACCACCACUCGUAUAUCCUGAACCACCACUUUUGAGUGAGUACGGUCUUUCGUAAACAAAUAGUUACAUUUUGGCACUGGCCUAGUCGUGGUCUAGGACACAUAAACAGCAAUAUAAUGAUUUCAGAUCUGGCUCUGUGUCAUUUCCUGUCUGCCUCUAUGGAGUAGUCAUUUAAAAAGCCCUACUAAUUCAGUCAAACCUUAAUUUAACUUAUCUUUCACACUCAGCUGAUGUGUCGGCAGGUCGCUCUGACACAUCU